rnacentral:rRNA from 1 species
AAAAAAUUAAUAAAUAAUUAUAGAUUAUUAGUAUUGUUAAAGAAAUUUAGUAAAAUUUUAAAAGAAGAAUUUAUUUUUUGUACCUUGUGUAUCAGGGUUUAUUAAAUAAAAUUUUUAAAUUAAAAUUUCUCGAAUUCAAAAGAGCUAUUAGAAUAUAAUUUUUAUUGUUGAAUAAAUAUUGUAAAUAUUAUAAUAGAAGUGAAAUGCUAUUCGUUUUUGAAUAUAUCUAGUUUUUUAAGAAAUAGAUUUAAUCUAGGGUUUUUAGAAUAUAAAUUUAAUUUUUUAAAUUUAUAUUAGAAAAAGCUAAUAUUUUAAGGGAUGAGCUUUAAAAUAAAAAUUUUAAAAGAAAAUAAAUAAGAUAAAGAAGUAGGAUUGGAAGUUUUCAUCUUUAAUAGUGUGUUACAACUAAGUUAUUUGAAAAUAAUAUUUUUAUAAAACUUUAAAUUUUUUAUUAAAAAAUAAUUUUUAAUGACAAAAAAUUAGAAAUAAUGAUAAAAUUAGUAAAAUAUAGUGUAAGAGUUAUUAUAGAUUAAAGGUUUAAUAAAGGAACUCGGCAAAUUAAUUUCUCACCUGUUUAUUAAAAACAUGGCUUUUUGAAGAUAAUUUAAGGUCUAACCUGCCCUAUGAUCUACGGAUUAAAUGGCUGCGGUACCCUGACCGUGCAAAGGUAGCAUAAUCAAUAGUUUUUUAAUUGAAAGCUGGAAUGAAAGGUUGGAUGAGGAAAUAGCUGUCUCUAUUGAAAUUUUUUUGAAUUUUAUUUUUAAGUAAAAAAGCUUAAAUAUAUCUAGAAGACGAGAAGACCCUAUAGAGUUUUAUAUUUUUUUAAAUUAGUAUUUUUAGGAUUAAUAGAUAUUGAUUUAUUUUAAUAUUUAGUUGGGGUGAUUAGAAAAUUAAAUAAACUUUUCUUUAAUCAAAACAUUGAUUUAUGAAUAUUUGAUCCUUCAAUAGAGAUUAAAAGAAAAAAUUACCUUAGGGAUAACAGCGUAAUUUUUUUUGAGAGUUCUUAUCGAAAAAAAAGGUUGCGACCUCGAUGUUGGAUUAAAAUAAAUUUUUGGUGUAGGAGCUAAAAAAAUUAGGUCUGUUCGACCUUUAAAAUUUUACAUGAUCUGAGUUUAAACCGGCGUGAGCCAGGUUGGUUUCUAUCUCUAGAAAGGUUAAAGUAUUUUAGUACGAAAGGAUUCUAUACUUAGUUUAAAAUUUU